rnacentral:rRNA from 1 species
ACGCUAGCUACAGGCUUAACACAUGCAAGUCGAGGGGAAACGGCAUUAAGUGCUUGCACUUUUUGGACGUCGACCGGCGCACGGGUGAGUAACGCGUAUCCAACCUUCCCAUGACUAAGGGAUAACCUGCCGAAAGGCAGACUGAUACCUUAUGGUCUUCACUGACGGCAUCAGAUGUGAAGUAAAGAUUUAUCGGUUAUGGAUGGGGAUGCGUCUGAUUAGUUAGUUGGCGGGGUAACGGCCCACCAAGGCAACGAUCAGUAGGGGUUCUGAGAGGAAGGUCCCCCACAUUGGAACUGAGACACAGUCCAAACUCCUACGGGAGGCAGCAGUGAGGAAUAUUGGUCAAUGGGCGAGAGCCUGAACCAGCCAAGUAGCGUGCAGGACGACGGCCCUAUGGGUUGUAAACUGCUUUUGUAUGGGGAUAAAGUCAAUCACGUGUGAUUGUUUGCAGGUACCAUACGAAUAAGGACCGGCUAAUUCCGUGCCAGCAGCCGCGGUAAUACGGAAGGUCCGGGCGUUAUCCGGAUUUAUUGGGUUUAAAGGGAGCGUAGGCUGGAGAUUAAGUGUGUUGUGAAAUGUAGACGCUCAACGUCUGACUUGCAGCGCAUACUGGUUUCCUUGAGUACGCACAACGUUGGCGGAAUUCGUCGUGUAGCGGUGAAAUGCUUAGAUAUGACGAAGAACUCCGAUUGCGAAGGCAGCUGACGGGAGCGCAACUGACGCUGAAGCUCGAAGGUGCGGGUAUCGAACAGGAUUAGAUACCCUGGUAGUCCGCACAGUAAACGAUGGAUGCCCGCUGUUGGUACCUGGUAUCAGCGGCUAAGCGAAAGCAUUAAGCAUCCCACCUGGGGAGUACGCCGGCAACGGUGAAACUCAAAGGAAUUGACGGGGGCCCGCACAAGCGGAGGAACAUGUGG